CAGGAUGACUUAAAAAGCCUGAUUAUACCAAAUGUUGGUAAGGAUGUGGCACAACUAGAAGCUGGAGACACAGGCACUCGCCGCACACACGUGCCCCCGCCCAACCUCAGGCGCGGCAGAGGGAUACAGGCGCCCUCCCAACAGCGGCUGCAGCACACACAAGCAUCAGGCUUACGCCAUGGCCCGCUCGCAGUCCCGAGGCUCCCACCCGGGCGCCCUGCCCAGGAUGCGGGAAGCCCCCGCUUUUAGCGUCCUCUGGGUGCAGUCAGGAGCGACUCACACUGCCCUGAGGAUCUGACGGGUUUGUGCCCCAGAAUCCUCAGCCCACAGAGGCUGAAUUUUCCCGCCAACCCCAAAGGAAGCGCCCAAACCGCGGGGAACUGCGGGUGCAGUGCCGGCCCAGUGACUCAGACACCGAGGCCGGUACCUACACGCCCGCCAGCACCAAGCCUACUCUCAGGAUGCGGCAACCAAGCGGGGCCGCACAGUCCCAGGUAGUUAUGGUGGAAACGCCUUUCCGGGCCGGCCCACUCCCCGGGGCGCCAAGCGUUGGCCUUCCUCUCACACCAAAAACACCGGGGAAACGUCGAGCAGAGCAGUAAAAGCAGCGAGAUGGACGGGAGCGGCGCUCGGCUCGUGCGGCAGCGACUCCUGGGAAGUGUCGCGCAGAGCCGUGAAAGCGGCUGGUGGACGAGGGGCGGGAGCGUUCGGCGCGUGCGGCAGGGACUCCUGGGAAGUGUCGCGCAGAGCCGUGAAAGCGGCUGGUGGACGAGGGGCGGGGGCGUUCGGCCCGUGCGGCAGGGACUCCUGGGAAAUGCCGCGCAGAGCCGUGAAAGCGGCUGGUGGACGAGAGAGAUUCUAGGCUCGUGAGGCAGAGGCCGGGAAAUGCGCGGUGUAAGAGCUGCUGGAUCCACAAGCUUCAUUCUGACGGCGCUUCUCCACGCUGGCAGGGGUGGUUCUUCCCGAGAGCGGCAGCCAAGCCCAGUCUGCGACUUCCCCAGCACGGGCAGAACCAGCUUUGAAGUGGCAGCUGCGGGGCUCCAAGUCCCACCCAGGACCUCACCGCACGCGCUCUGUUCAUGAACACUACGGGCCGUUUUACACAGAAAUGUCCACUGCAGGAACGACUGAGGAAAUCCACAGAAGCAGCACUCGAGCUCAAUUCCUGGCAAGGAUUAGGUCAUUCCGCAUUUUACUUGGCCUCGGUGGCCUUCACCAGAGGACAGCAUUCUGAUCGGAGUACUUGUGUAGGUAAAAGUGGACUCUGAACAAAAUUCAGACCCAGCUUUUGGGGAAGAUACUACAUCACUGAACUGAUCCUUCCUCGAUCCCGGGAAGCACUGAGCCUAGCACAUACCACAGAAACGCUGUGCGAACAAGAACAUUCUCCAAAUUCAAGUUCAGAUUUUGCUACCAUCAGACAUAAUGGUUAUAAAACUAGGCUUAUCACCAAAAUUACCUGCAGGGCAGCAUUGUCAGAACUCAGUUCCGGUUCCAACUCAGUCAGUUCCACGUGGAACAUGUAGAAUAUGAAGCCGUACAGUGCUGGGCCGAGGCCGUUACACAGCCCUCUUAUUCCAGUUAUGAUCCCCUGGGCAACUCCUGCAUCAGAACGAAGAGAAGGGAGCACGUCUUCUCAUAAAAGUAUCUCAAGAUUAGGGACUUCACCCAUCAUAGUGUCAUUUGGUGCACAAAUGUGUUACUGGUUUUACUAUGUCCUUUAAUGUCCUCUCUGUCCUAAGAUCUAUAUGGAGAUGAAAUGACCGUGAUGUUUAUGAAAUCUCUUUUGGGGCUGAAUUCUCCCUAUAACAGCUAGAUCCUUCCUAUAAAUGAGGAAUAAUAAAUAAAAACUUUAAUAUUCUUCAUUUAUAGGCAAUUUCCACUUUUGAGAUUGAGAUUUUUCCUCCUUUACUCAUCUGACAGUCCUUUUACGGCAAAAAUCUGCCCUUUGUCGCCUGGAGCCCUGUGUGUGAGUCCACGGCAGUCCUCAAGUUGUGUACUCCCGGCACGUGCACACAGACUCUGCUGCUCAUGGUGACCUGCGCUGAAAAAUCCCAGAAGUGCCAACUUCUAGAUAUCUCUGGUUUCUAAUGUAGCAGAUAUGAUAUUAGCUUGAUUCAUGAAAAUGGAUGUUUCUGUAAGUCAAACUGUUGAAAUAGGAUUCAACUUAAUAUGUUCUAGUAAUGUUGUACACUGACAUUUAGGAACAUCUGCAUUAAAACUGAACUGAACAGAAGCAUAGUAACAGCCAAAGAGAAUUCAUGUCAUGAAAGACCAGAUGGUGCCGUCACACAUGGCGGCAGUGCCCCCCAUCCCCAGCAGGCUGGCUUCUUCUGACGUAACACGCCCCAAGGGCACAGCCAAGGGAGUUCGCAAAGAGUGUCACACAGAUUCUAUAGUCUUCAAGUGACACUUUAAACAUGGGUACGAGUAAGAUGACUAAUUUUUGAUGUGGAAAAGUAGUUCAAUGAAUUAUUCUUUCCAUCUAGUUCUUUAUUAAAACUUUUUAAAGAACUCUAAUACAUUUAAAAGGUUU